rnacentral:rRNA from 1 species
GACGAACGCUGGCGGCGUGCUUAACACAUGCAAGUCGAACGGAAAGGCCCUGCUUGCAGGGUACUCGAGUGGCGAACGGGUGAGUAACACGUGGGUGAUCUGCCCUGCACUUCGGGAUAAGCCUGGGAAACUGGGUCUAAUACCGGAUAGGGGCCAUUUUUAGUGUGAUGGUUGGAAAGUUUUUUCGGUGUAGGAUGAGCUCGCGGCCUAUCAGCUUGUUGGUGGGGUAAUGGCCUACCAAGGCGGCGACGGGUAGCCGGCCUGAGAGGGUGGACGGCCACAUUGAGACUGAGAUACGGCCCAGACUCCUACGGGAGGCAGCAGUGGGGAAUAUUGCACAAUGGGCGCAAGCCUGAUGCAGCGACGCCGCGUGGGGGAUGACGGCCUUCGGGUUGUAAACUCCUUUCGCUAGGGACGAAGCUUUUUGUGACGGUACCUAGAUAAGAAGCACCGGCUAACUACGUG